CCCGCACUCGCGCCCCCACCCACCCACUCUCCUCUCUUCCCCGAUCCCCUCCCACUCGAGCCGGAGCCCCUCCCUCCUCUUCGUGCCGCCGGCCGUCGUGGCGACGCAGAGCAAGGCGCCGAGCCGCGGGAGGUCGCCGUGCACGUGGAGCACCCAGAGAAAAAGCGGGCAGCGAGAGAAGAAAGACCUAGCCCGCGUCUCCUCGUCCCCUCUUGCCGCCUCCGGCUCCUCUCCUCUCCCCCGGUUCACCUUGAUGCGCCUGGCCGCGGUGAUGGUGGCGUGACGGACUUUGGCCAUGGAUCCCAGCAGCUUCAAAAACGGAGGGCAUUUUCUAUAUUGUUCAGCUGCAGCUUAGGAUGCCAUGAGUUGAUAGCUAAGCCUUCUGCUUCCAACCAUUGAGAGGCGUUGCACUUCGCCUCCAUCUGUCAUCGUGAUCGGUGGAGGAAUCUCAGGGAUUGCUGCGGCUCAUGUCCUCUCCAAUUCCUCUUUUCAGGUACUGACAAAAUCCUGAUCUGUCUGCUGUUCCUCUAAUUAGAUGAUGCCCAUGCUGCCUGAGCAGGUGACUGUCCUUGAGUCGAGAGAUCGAAUUGGUGACCAUGUUCAUACGGAUUACUACUUUGGAUGCCCCAUCUACAUGGGAGCCUCAUGGUUGCACGGUGUCAGUAAUGAGAUUUCUUUAGCACCAUUGAUUGGCCAGCUAAAAAAGUACUACUGGCUAAGGAGAGCAGCUUGUCUGAAUUUCGAGCAGUUGGUGGUCAGGUUGAACUCUGAAUGAAGGGUGGCAACCUACUGAUUGGAACUAUUUUGCGGUCACUGGAAAUUGAAGAUCAGUAUUUUUACCCAGGGAGUCGUGUACCAAGGUACUUGGCAAGGUCCUUCAUCAACAGUAUGCAAACCGAAGAAAUCCCGGCUCCUGCUCGAAAGAAUAGUUCACAAACUAAAGGCGCCCCACUAAAGAAAAGUUACAGCGAGGAAAGGUUUUUGAAGCAUCAGAUGAUUUUGACGAAUUUGGAACACCUAUGCUAAAAGAGAGGAGUAUAUCAGAUUAUUUUAGUUCCCAAGAUGUUUUACCUAUUGGCCUCCCUUCCUUGCAAACCCUGCAUUUAGUCGAAUUCCUGGUUUGCUACCAGACAGUGAAAUUAAAAUGAUUGGAUUCACUUCCGAAGGAAGUGGUACUUCCGAUAGUUUUGUGAAAGCUCGGAUUGUUAUAUAUGAUCAGCAGUCUCUCCAGUACAACAACUUGGACACCGGGGUAAAUAUCUCAAUAUCUAAAAAUUAUUCAGUACUUAA